GGGUCAGUAGGUUGGUCGUGCCACCGGUACGUACUGGUCUCACUGAUUCCUCCUUCCUGAAGAACCGUAAUGCCAUUAAUUUGGUGUUGCGGGGAAACAGGACUGUUACUUUGAAAAAAUUAGAGUGUUUAAAGCAAGCUAACGCUUGAAUAUAUUAGCAUGGAAUAAUGAAAUAGGACGAUCGAUCCUAUUUUGCUGGUUUCUAGGAUUGACGUA
rnacentral:rRNA from 1 species